rnacentral:rRNA from 1 species
CGAAUGCUGACAUAAGUAACGAUAAAGCGGGUGAAAAGCCCGCUCGCCGGAAGACCAAGGGUUCCUGUCCAACGUUAAUCGGGGCAGGGUGAGUCGACCCCUAAGGCGAGGCCGAAAGGCGUAGUCGAUGGGAAACAGGUUAAUAUUCCUGUACUUGGUGUUACUGCGAAGGGGGGACGGAGAAGGCUAUGUUGGCCGGGCGACGGUUGUCCCGGUUUAAGCGUGUAGGCUGGUUUUCCAGGCAAAUCCGGAAAAUCAAGGCUGAGGCGUGAUGACGAGGCACUACGGUGCUGAAGCAACAAAUGCCCUGCUUCCAGGAAAAGCCUCUAAGCAUCAGGUAACAUCAAAUCGUACCCCAAACCGACACAGGUGGUCAGGUAGAGAAUACCAAGGCGCUUGAGAGAACUCGGGUGAAGGAACUAGGCAAAAUGGUGCCGUAACUUCGGGAGAAGGCACGCUGAUAUGUAGGUGAA